AAAACUUUCAACAACGGAUCUCUUGGCUCUCGCAUCGAUGAAGAACGCAGCGAAAUGUGAUAAGUAAUGUGAAUUGCAGAAUUCAGUGAAUCAUCGAAUCUUUGAACGCAUCUUGCACUCUUUGGUAUUCCGAAGAGUAUGUCUGUUUGAGUG
rnacentral:rRNA from 1 species